AUUGAACGCUGGCGGCAGGCCUAACACAUGCAAGUCGAGCGGAUGAGUGGAGCUUGCUCCAUGAUUCAGCGGCGGACGGGUGAGUAAUGCCUAGGAAUCUGCCUGGUAGUGGGGGACAACGUUUCGAAAGGAACGCUAAUACCGCAUACGUCCUACGGGAGAAAGUGGGGGAUCUUCGGACCUCACGCUAUCAGAUGAGCCUAGGUCGGAUUAGCUAGUUGGUGAGGUAAAGGCUCACCAAGGCGACGAUCCGUAACUGGUCUGAGAGGAUGACCAGUCACACUGGAACUGAGACACGGUCCAGACUCCUACGGGAGGCAGCAGUGGGGAAUAUUGGACAAUGGGCGAAAGCCUGAUCCAGCCAUGCCGCGUGUGUGAAGAAGGUCUUCGGAUUGUAAAGCUCUUUAAGUUGGGAGGAAGGGCAGUAAGUUAAUACCUUGCUGUUUUGACGUUACCAACAGAAUAAGCACCGGCUAACUUCGUGCCAGCAGCCGCCGUAACAC
rnacentral:rRNA from 1 species